rnacentral:rRNA from 1 species
AACGAACGCUGGCGGCAUGCCUAACACAUGCAAGUCGAACGAGACCUUCGGGUCUAGUGGCGCACGGGUGCGUAACGCGUGGGAACCUGCCCUUAGGUUCGGAAUAACUCCCCGAAAGGGGUGCUAAUACCGGAUAAUGUCUUUGGACCAAAGAUUUAUCGCCUUUGGAUGGGCCCGCGUUGGAUUAGCUAGUUGGUAGGGUAAAAGCCUACCAAGGCGACGAUCCAUAGCUGGUCUGAGAGGAUGAUCAGCCACACUGGGACUGAGACACGGCCCAGACUCCUACGGGAAGCAGCAGUGGGGAAUAUUGGACAAUGGGCGAAAGCCUGAUCCAGCAAUGCCGCGUGAGUGAUGAAGGCCUUAGGGUUGUAAAGCUCUUUUACCCGGGAUGAUAAUGACAGUACCGGGAGAAUAAGCUCCGGCUAACUCCGUG